AGGUGUACAGCAAAGGGACUCAGCCAUACAUAUACAUGUAUCCAUUCUCCCCAGUACUGCCUUUUGGAAAGGGAAAUUAAAAGAUGUUUUAGCAUCUUGCUACUCAAAAUGUAGUCCAUGGGACAGCAGUAUUGGAAGCUUAUUAGAAAUGUAAAGAUACAGAGUAUCAUGCUAUACCUACUGAAUCAGAAUUUACAUUUUAACCAGAUCUCCAGGUGAUCUGGGUGUGAGAAGUGCAGUUCUAGGAGACUGGUAAGCUUUCCUGAUGCUAAUUUCAAUGGAUUGGCACUGUUUAACAUUGCCCCAGUCAGUGACAGUCAUCAUGAUGCCAUCUCCUGUUUUUGAAAGCAAGAGUUGAAAUUUUUACACAGGUAUUAUCUGUUAUAACACAUGGACUUUUCUUUUGCCACUGUAAUCAUAAGAUUUGGUACUGUUAAAACUUCUUGCCCACAUUUCUGCCUCACCCCAACUUAUUCUUCCUCCUCUUCAUUCCUAGUCCAAAAGCUGGUUCAUUUCCCCUUGAUCAGAUAUCUUUAAUGUUCUCCAUUGUCUAGCAAAUGAAACGCUUUAUAAUCUACUGCAGCCUUCUCUUUAUAUCCUUCUCCUAUUCAGUAUAAUCCCUAGCUGGAUUCAGCUAUGUGCCAUUUUUAGUAUUCUGGUCACCUGGAUGCUAAUAAAUCAUUGAUUGUGUCUAGGACACCUUCACCUCCUCACCUUGGUCUUAUCAAUUCCUGUUUAUCAACAUUACCUCAGUUAUUAUCCUCAUUCUGACUUCUUUGAUCACUUUAGCCCAUGUAGACCUCUCUUUUUUCUGAAAUUAAUACACUUAGUUUACCACCCUGAGAUAUUAAACCUCAUUUCAGUUCUGCAUUUUAUAGUAGUAUUCUUUAAAAGCAGAGAUCUUUCUUAGACCUACUCAAAGAGUCUAGCAUUGCACAUACUCUCUGAAGAUCUCAUGUUUACCUAGAAAGGGAGUAUUGGUGAAGCUAACACAAGCUACACAUGUGAAAAUUUAUCCAGUAUGACUUUGUCCAGUGGUGUUCCCCCUCUAGAAAUAUUAAUUUGCUCAACAAAUGCAGCAUUAAUUCCUGCCCUUAAGAAAUUUGUAUUUUUCUUUUAUCUACUUUAAUUCAAUUAUUUACAUAAGCCAGGGGAAUGAGGAUGAUUUAUAACCAGAUUGGUUCAUUGUCCUUUUGGUCAGCUAACUGAAUUCACGUAUUUCUCAUGUAUUACUGUGUUACAUUUUCACCCAGCCUGUCCAGCCAUCAAACUAAACUCAGGGGCAGUGCUUUUCAUUCCAGAAAAGACAUCCGGCUAGAGAAUGGUGAGUUAGAAUCAGUAUGAAGCUUGGCCCUCAUAAUUGGCCCACCUGAGAAAGAGUGGCCCGAGUGAGGAAGCCUUCCAGGUGCCCAGGGCUCACUCCUUGGGGUACCUGAUUAAUAUAUAGGCACAUUUUUCUGUCUAAACAAAUUAAUCAAGUGUAUCUUAAAAGAAUGUGUACCUGAUGAAAUCUACCACAAAAUAAAGUUUAGGAUAUGGUGCUCUGGAAUCUGUCCUGUAUUGGAGUCUCUUAAAGUCAGUUAAGUUUAACUGUAAUAUGUGAAAUAAUGAAAUAAAUCAACCUUGGGAUGAAAAUGAGAACGAGUGGUGCAUAACAAAAGGAAAUGCUAAAUAAAAAUGUGUAGUGAGGUGCAAAAUUAUAACACAUGGGCUUGUUCCAGAAACAAAAUACAGAGGCUUCUUUUUAUAGAUUUGGAGGAUUUCUAUAAUAAGAUAAACAAGAAGUUCAUGGGUGGGGUCUGUAUAAAUAAUAUCCUACUGAUAGGAAAAAUGACAGUAUAAACAGGAUAUAAUAACAGUGCCUGCUGAAUUUCCCAGCAUGUUAUUUGUAGCUUUUUUCACAGAGUCACAGCUGCUCCCACCAAGGGUGGAUUUUUACCUCUGUAAGAGGUCGAGCAACUUUCUAAAUUCUCACUAACAGUGGUGGGGUGGGGAACAUACAUAGCCUUUGCUUUAGUAAUAAAUACGUAUGUUUUAUAUUCACUUUCAGGGUGAAACAUUUUCUUGGGCUAUUAGAAUUCUUAAAACAUGAUUUUCUUUUUAAAUGACCUCUGGGAAAAAUCACGCUGGCAGAAUAAAUGAGUAAAUGGGCAAUGCUUGAGUGAGUGCUUAUCAGCUAAAUAAAUAUACUAAUUAGAUUCAUGUCCUCUUAAAAAAUAAAUAAGUGAAAGAAGAAAAAUUAAUCAUCUCUGAAUUUUAAGAAAUUUAUCAUAAUUCUGUUUUCUUGAAUGAUAGCAGUAUAAUGGAAAAGUGACCAUUAAACUUUUGAAUCCCAAAAUUCUAGUCCUUCUGUCAAAUAGUCUUGUGAUCCAGGACAAAUCACGUAACUUCUCUGAGCCUCAGUUUCUUUAUUUAUAAGACGAGAGGUUUGACCAAAUGUUUUCCAAGUAUCUUUUCCAGUUGUCAAGUUUCCGUUCUGUUUUUAAACUGUUAAGUACAUUUAACAAGUAUGCAUGUUACCCCUAUCUAGUGACUCUCAUUCCCAAAAUGUAAGAAUUUGUAUAAAGAGAAGCUCUGAAACAGUUUCAGAAGUGUUCCAGCUGUAUUCAGAUCACUUCCCUUUUCUUAGUUAUCUUUAAAAUGAAGAGUAAAAGCACUACAUAUUCAAUUUAAUUAUGAUAAUUUCUUUACAAAGUAGAACUUCAGACCAGACACUAAAAACCAACUAAAAUGUCAAUAUACCUUUUUUUAAAAAUAGACUUUAUGUUUUAGAGUAGUUUUAGGUUCACAGCAAAAGUGAACAGAAAGUAUAGAGAGUUCCCAUAUACCUCCUGCCCCUCCACACACACACAGCCUUCCCUACUCUCAGCAUCUUGCACUAGAGUGGUACUUUAUUAUAAUAUGAACCUACGUUGUCACCCAAAGUCCAUAGUUUACUUUAGGUAUAGAUAGUUUUGUACAUUCUAUGGGUCUUGAAAAAAGUGUAAUGACUAGUAUCUACCAUUAUAGUAUCAGAAGAUGAUACUGUAGUUUAAUUGCCUGAAAAUCCUCUGUACUCCACCUAUUCGUCCUUCCCUCUCUCUCCCCUAACCCUUGGCAACUGCUAAUCUUUUUACUGUCUCCAUAGUUUUGCCUUUUCCAGAAUGUUAUCAUAUUCUUUUCAGGUUGGCUUCUUUCACUUAAUAAUAUGUAUUUAAGGGUCUUUAAUGUCUUUUCGUGGCUUGAUAGUUCAUUUCUUUUUAGUGCUAAGUAAUAUUCCACUGUCCAGAUGUACCACAGUUUAUUUAUCCAUUCACCUACUGAAGGACAUCUUGGUUGCUUUCAAGUUUUGGCAAUUAUGAAUAAAGCAGCUCUAAACAAGUAGAAUUUAUAUCUAUAUUAGAAAAGCAGUGUUGGUAGGGCAUAAGUCACAGACUAUGGUAUUGUCCUAUUAUAAUACAACCAAACAUAAUUAUAAUGCUUAUUUAACAAGAUUUUAUCAAUUCCUACCUAAUGAAUUUUACUAGUUUUAUGUAGAGCUCCACUAUGAAGGCUAUUAUCUGUAUAAAAUGCACAGAUUUCUGUAUAUGAGAUGGGACUUGUGUCUCCAAAUUGAAAAGGUUUAGAGCUUUAAUUUCUAUUAGGAGAAAACUGCUUUUCAAAUAUAAAUGUUUUUGCAGAGUGCAUUUUAGGAUUUUCCCUUGUCUUGCAGCCUCUGAAGAAUAAGAACAGAUGUUGUCCUAUGGUUCAAAAAAUUCUUACUUUUAUUCUCAUUUUCUUCUAUGUUCUGCAAUUUGUUGCCAAACUGUUUUCUUGUAAACAUAACACAUAAGGUUACCUUUCUUUUCCGUAGGAAAAAGUCCAGGCUAUAUAUCUGAAUACCCAUAUUUUCUCCCUUUGAUGAUGGCUCUGAAAAAUUGGAGUGAAAAUAAUUUCAGAGGACACUCUUUGUUGUUAGAAAAUCAGUUUUCUACAAUUCUUGAAAUUUAUUGUCCUACCAGGGCUUUUAUCAUCUCAAAUGCAAUGUACAGGGACAUACAUUUUUGGUGUUAAAAAACUAAGGAGGGUUGGUUUUCAAGUAUAAAAUAAGAUUUCUCUUCCACCUGUAUUUAAAGUAGAAACUAUAUUUUAAAAACUUUUAUUCUACCACAAGCUUUGACAAAAGUGAUUUUAAAAGGUUAGACACAGAUGUGGUUUUUCCCCCUUCAUUAAUUUUCACUUUUGUUUCUCCCCAAUUCUUGCUUGCUAAGAUCAUGGAGAAAAGUCUGUACUUAAGGUAUAAUAUUCCUUCAACAGCUUUAUGAAAUCCGUCUUACCUAACAUGCAGAAACUGCCUAUCUGGAGGGCCAGCUGUAAAGUUAUACUUGGAUUUUGGACUGGGCAGGGAGGUCAACACCUCUAACCCCCAGGUCAACUAACUAUAUCAUUUGAUCCUCACAAAAUAAACUUUUUUUUUUU